rnacentral:rRNA from 1 species
ACGCUGGCGGCAGGCCUAACACAUGCAAGUCGAGCGGUAGCACGGGAGAGCUUGCUCUCUGGGUGACGAGCGGCGGACGGGUGAGUAAUGUCUGGGAAACUGCCUGAUGGAGGGGGAUAACUACUGGAAACGGUAGCUAAUACCGCAUGACCUCGCAAGAGCAAAGUGGGGGACCUUCGGGCCUCACGCCAUCGGAUGUGCCCAGAUGGGAUUAGCUAGUAGGUGGGGUAAUGGCUCACCUAGGCGACGAUCCCUAGCUGGUCUGAGAGGAUGACCAGCCACACUGGAACUGAGACACGGUCCAGACUCCUACGGGAGGCAGCAGUGGGGAAUAUUGCACAAUGGGCGCAAGCCUGAUGCAGCCAUGCCGCGUGUGUGAAGAAGGCCUUAGGGUUGUAAAGCACUUUCAGCGAGGAGGAAGGCGUUGUAGUUAAUAGCUGCAACGAUUGACGUUACUCGCAGAAGAAGCACCGGCUAACUCCGUGCCAGCAGCCGCGGUAAUACGGAGGGUGCAAGCGUUAAUCGGAAUUACUGGGCGUAAAGCGCACGCAGGCGGUUUGUUAAGUCAGAUGUGAAAUCCCCGAGCUUAACUUGGGAACUGCAUUUGAAACUGGCAAGCUAGAGUCUUGUAGAGGGGGGUAGAAUUCCAGGUGUAGCGGUGAAAUGCGUAGAGAUCUGGAGGAAUACCGGUGGCGAAGGCGGCCCCCUGGACAAAGACUGACGCUCAGGUGCGAAAGCGUGGGGAGCAAAC